UACGAAGGGGGCUAGCGUUGCUCGGAAUCACUGGGCGUAAAGGGUGCGUAGGCGGGUUUUUAAGUCAGGGGUGAAAUCCUGGAGCUCAACUCCAGAACUGCCUUUGAUACUGGCGAUCUCGAGUCCGGGAGAGGUGAGUGGAACUGCGAGUGUAGAGGUGAAAUUCGUAGAUAUUCGCAAGAACACCAGUGGCGAAGGCGGCUCACUGGCCCGGUACUGACGCUGAGGUGCGAAAGCGUGGGGAGCAAACAGG
rnacentral:rRNA from 1 species